rnacentral:rRNA from 1 species
GACGAACGCUGGCGGCGUGCUUAACACAUGCAAGUCGAACGCUGAAGACCUGGCUUUUGUUGGGUUGGAUGAGUGGCGAACGGGUGAGUAACACGUGAGUAACCUGCCCUCUUCUUUGGGAUAACGCCCGGAAACGGGUGCUAAUACUGGAUAUUCACUGGCCUUCGCAUGGGGGUUGGUGGAAGGGUUUGUUCUGGUGGGGGAUGGGCUCGCGGCCUUUCAGCUUGUUGGUGGGGUGAUGGCCUACCAAGGCUUGGACGGGUAGCCGGCCUGAGAGGGUGACCGGUCACAUUGGGACUGAGAUACGGCCCAGACUCCUACGGGAGGCAGCAGUGGGGAAUAUUGCACAAUGGGCGAAAGCCUGAUGCAGCGACGCCGCGUGAGGGAUGGAGGCCUUCGGGUUGUAAACCUCUUUCGCUCAUGGUCAAGCCGCAACUGUGGGUUGUGGUGAGGGUAGUGGGUAAAGAAGCGCCGGCUAACUACGUG